rnacentral:rRNA from 1 species
UACGAAGGGGGCUAGCGUUGCUCGGAAUCACUGGGCGUAAAGCGCACGUAGGCGGAUCUUUAAGUCAGGGGUGAAAUCCUGGAGCUCAACUCCAGAACUGCCUUUGAUACUGGGGAUCUCGAGUCCGGAAGAGGUGAGUGGAACUCCGAGUGUAGAGGUGAAAUUCGUAGAUAUUCGGAAGAACACCAGUGGCGAAGGCGGCGCACUGGUCCGGUACUGACGCUGAGGCGCGAAAGCGUGGGGAGCAAACAGG